rnacentral:rRNA from 1 species
GACGAACGCUGGCGGCGUGCUUAACACAUGCAAGUCGAACGAAGUGGCGAACGGGUGAGUAACGCGUAAUAAACCUGCCCUUCAGAUGGGGACAACAGUUGGAAACGACUGCUAAUACCGCAUACUGAAGGAGGGGAUUGCGUCUGAUUAGCUAGUUGGGGGGGUAACGGCCCACGCAGGCGCUGAUCAGUAGCCGGGCUGGAGGGAUUGACGUCCACAGUGGGACUUAGACACGGCCCAGACUUCUACGGGAGGCAGCAGUGGGGAACCUUCCGCAAUGGACGAAAGUCUGACGGAGCACCGCCGCGUGAGUGAUGACGGCCUUCGGGUUGUAAAGCUCUUUUAAUCGGGACGCGGUACCGGAAUAGAAAGCCACGGCUAACUACGUGCCAGCAGCCGCGGUAAUUC